AUACAACCUGGCUCUUCUUUGUCCUAAGAUGAGAGGAGUGCCCUGUGGUGCUGACGCCAGAGAGCCUGCCACACACUGGCUGUGUGGAACAGAAGUGUGGCGACUGCCCAGCAGCCACCCACCUGGUCUCUGUCCUAAAUGCCAUCACCCGGGGCUAUUUCUGGGACAGCAGCAACAAGGCAUGGGAGAGGAGGAAGUAGGGCCUCGCCGCUGCCUCAGCUGCCACUGAAUUCUGAAUUGGGAGCAGCCUGGACAGAGCAGUAACCUGACAUCAGCCCCAGGGACACGAGGAGGCUCAUGUGUGGUGCGCAGGGAAAGCGGGUCUGCUUGGAGCAGGAGCAGGCUUGUGCUUUAUUUUUGUUACUCCUUUCUCAAACAGCCCCAUGUGAAUCUGAUGAUUCCUGCUGCAGUAUGAAAAGCAGAAUAUGGAAGAUGUUGGAUCGUAUAAAGUAUUGUAUAUGUUGUGGGUUGGGCUGCAGAGCACCACUGAGGACACGGAGUCUCUGUAACCUGACCUUCUCAGGCAGCGAGUUCUUCAUUGCGCCAAGGACAGCGGAUGUCGAAGACACAGUGAGACUGACCGACAGCCCUGUUGGGUAUCCCUGCUGGCAAGUCUCUUAGGAUUCUAUGAUUUUACUCAUGUGGGCGUGGAGGAAGGAUCAGGCGUGAUCAAGGAUCACAGAAGCUUUGGCUGCCGUCUCCCGUGGGGAGAGAGAGCUUCAGUCCUCGUCUUCGUCUUAGACGUCGCCUCCUGACUCCAGUGCAGACGGCUCAGCCUGGUGGCACAGACCCUUCCUCCAGCCGGCACCGGCUUUCUGGCUUCCACCACUGCCCUUGGGCCUUCCCAGUGCGGAUCCUCGAUACGGACUCGCACACUCACACCGGACACUGCCCCGGCUCCGCGCCCUGGACUGGAUCCUUCCAGUCUCCAGCACGCAGGCGCACAUGGCACGCUUCUCCGCCUGACUCCAAGUUUUGUGGAGGCCGAAUUCUCCCUUAAGCAUACUGGGUUUCAACCAGGGGUCACCCUGUGACUUCCUAGAAGCAGCCAGCUGACUUCACAAACACCUGGCACUUUUGGAGAUGCAGAUUCUUCCCCUGGAGCAAGGGCCACCCAACACUUUAUACCUUGGAAUUGAGCAAAGACCAAGCCGCCAGUUGAGUUAUUUCAAUGAUAUUAUCAGUGCUUCAAAACAUUUUCAUCAGCCAGCCAGUAAAAGAUUUAUUAUUGACGGGAACUCCUUUCUUUUGGGCAGUGUUCUGCUUUGUUAGACUCUCAUUCCUAAUAUAUUUUCCUGAUAAGAGUACCUCUUCAAGAACAAAGUACCUCUCCAACUCAGCAACUCCAGGAC
rnacentral:lncRNA from 1 species